rnacentral:rRNA from 1 species
AGUGAACGCUGGCGGUAGGCCUAACACAUGCAAGUCGAACGGCAGCACAGUAAGAGCUUGCUCUUACGGGUGGCGAGUGGCGGACGUGUGAGGAAUACAUCGGAAUCUACUUUUUCGUGGGGGAUAACGUAGGGAAACUUACGCUAAUACCGCAUACGACCUACGGGUGAAAGCAGGGGAUCUUCUGACCUUGCGCGAUUGAAUGAGCCGAUGUCGGAUUAGCUAGUUGGCGGGGUAAAGGCCCACCAAGGCGACGAUCCGUAGCUGGUCUGAGAGGAUGAUAAGCCACACUGGAACUGAGACACGGUCCAGACUACUAAGGGAGGCAGCAGUGGGGAAUAUUGGACAAUGGGCGCAGGCCUGAUCCAGCCAUACCGCGUGGGUGAAGAAGGCCUUCGGGUUGUAAAGCCCUUUUGUUGGGAAAGAAAAGCAGCAGGUUAAUACCCCGCUGUUCUGACGGUACCCAAAGAAUAAGCACCGGCUAACUUCGUG